AUUGAACGCUGGCGGCAGGCCUAACACAUGCAAGUCGAACGGUAGCAGGAAGAAGCUUGCUUCUUUGCUGACGAGUGGCGGACGGGUGAGUAAUGUCUGGGAAACUGCCUGAUGGAGGGGGAUAACUACUGGAAACGGUAGCUAAUACCGCAUAACGUCGCAAGACCAAAGAGGGGGACCUUCGGGCCUCUUGCCAUCGGAUGUGCCCAGAUGGGAUUAGCGAGUAGGUGGGGUAACGGCUCACCUAGGCGACGGUCCCUAGCUGGUCUGAGAGGAUGACCAGCCACACUGGAACUGAGACACGGUCCAGACUCCUACGGGAGGCAGCAGUGGGGAAUAUUGCACAAUGGGCGCAAGCCUGAUGCAGCCAUGCCGCGUGUAUGAAGAAGGCCUUCGGGUUGUAAAGUACUUUCAGCGGGGAGGAAGGGAGUAAAGUUAAUACCUUUGCUCAUUGACGUUACCCGCAGAAGAAGCACCGGCUAACUCCGUGCCAGCCGCCGCCGUAA
rnacentral:rRNA from 1 species